AUUGAACGCUGGCGGCAGGCCUAACACAUGCAAGUCGAACGAGUGGCGGACGGGUGAGUAAUGGCUUGGAAACUGCCCGAUGGAGGGGGAUAACUACUGGAAACGGUAGCUAAUACCGCAUACCAUCGGAUGUGCCCAGAUGGGAUUAGCUAGUAGGUGGGGUAACGGCUCACCUAGGCGACUAGCCCUAGCUGGUCUGAGAGGAUGACCCGCCACACUGGUACUGAGACGCGGGCCAGACUCCGACGAGAGGCAGCAGUGUGGAAUAUUGCACGAUGGGAGCAAGCCUGAUGCAGCCAUGCCGCGUGUAUGAAGAAGGCCUUCAGGUUGUAAAGUACUAUCAGAGAAAGGGCGUUACUCGCAGAAGGAGCACCGGCUAACACCGUGCCAGCAGCCGCGGUGAUAG
rnacentral:rRNA from 1 species